AUGAGGUGCAGUCUCUUCCCAGGCUCCACGAGUUUUCGGGGCUCAAAGAAACACCAGCAGCGUCCCGGGAGGAGAAAGAGGGUCCCCCGUCCUUUGGGGCCGCGCGGGACCCGGCUGCGGGGGCUGGACCCCCCGCUACCCAUUUCCGAAAAGUCGCCGCACAUUUUCGGCCACCAGAAGCCGCCUAGUGCAAGGCAAGCGUCGGAGUUUGGAGAGGCCUGGGCGGGUGUGACCGGGUGGUGCAGAGGCUUCUCAAGAAAGGGCAGCUUUUUUUGCGGGGGGUGUGUGUGUGGGGGAAGCUUUCGUCCGAAAUUUAGCUCCGCUGGGGCUUGGGAUAUUUGCUUUUCCUCCCCAACGUCUGCUUUAUUCUCUUCCAAAGAGCAUGUUCUGUUGCCGGAUUCUGGGCAUUUUCCGACCCCUCAAAAAGGAUAUGCCGGGAAAGGAACAUGCAGAUAGUUUAACAUUCUUUGGUUGGAGUCUGAGGAAGUGUCACCUUGACGCUAAGGAGACUUGGCGCUUUCAGGGAGUGUAAAACUUGCAAAAUUAAGAUCCCCCCCUCCGUCUUUCCUAAAGACAACUUUCUCUUCCCCUGCCCCAGCUUUCUUCAGCAUAAAGCCUUGAUGAGCCCUAGGCUGGAAUCACUGGAAGUUAAGGAGUCUGGGGGGGAAGGGGAUUUGAAAAGUUGCAGCUGUAAUGGAGGUGCUGGGCAGCGGGGGGGGGGGGGGAGAGAAAGAACUAGAAAGUCCUGGAAGUGGGGCGGGAGUGGCUUUAGAUUGAAGCAAAGCUCAGGAUGACCCCAGGGGAGAAGCCUUUGUUGUGUUCCCCCCCCGCGGCUUUCCUUUCUCUCCCAUUCCUGCUUCCAGUCCUCACUCAGGCUUGUAGUUAACAGUAGUAUUUUUAGAUUUAAAAUUUUGCCAA
rnacentral:lncRNA from 1 species